rnacentral:rRNA from 1 species
CCUGCCCAGUGCGAAAUAUUAAUGUAAACGGCCGCCCUAGCGUGAGGGUGCUAAGGUAGCGAAAUUCCUUGCCUUUUGAUUGUAGGCCUGCAUGAAUGGUUUAACGAGGGUUUAGCUGUCUCUAAAUUUUUAAUUGAAAUUGUAUUGAAGGUGAAGAUACCUUCAUUUAAAAGUUAGACAAAAAGACCCCGUGCAACUUUGAAAAUUAACUUUAUUCAGGGGUAAAAGAUUUUUAGGUGGGGCGCCUAGAAAGUAAGCCUAACCUUUCUGAGUAAGAGUUUCUUUCAGGAGUUGACCCGAUUAUAUUCGAUCAUAGGAGAAGUUACGCCGGGGAUAACAGGCUAAUCCUUUAGUAGAGCUCGUAUUGGCUAAAGGGAUUGGCACCUCGAUGUUGAAUCAGGGAUGAUAGCUUCAAGGCGUAGAGGCUUUGAGAGUAGGUCUGUUCGACCUUUAAUACCCUACGU